GGGAUCCGCCAGGCCGGGGAGGCCUCGUCCGGGCCUGGUUAUCCUGAGGGCCGGCCUUCGGCCAAGGCCACCAGCCUGCCAUAAAACAGGGAUGCUGAAUCGGGACAGAUGCCUGUCCCUCCUCCUGCUGCAGCUGUUCUCCCUCCCAGGCACAGGGGGAAGCAUCUGCAGUGGGUUGGGGUGUGUGAACUAGCCCCGACUGCAAAGCGGCACAAAGCUGUCAGGGAGGUUUGGGGUAGACAUGAGGAAAAGGUCUUCACCCACAGGGUGAACGCUGGGCUAGGCACCCCUGGGAAGUGGUCACAGCACCAAGCCUGACACAGUUCAAGUGUUUGGAGAACACUCCUGGGCACAAGGAUCUCACAACUUUUUAAAGGGAACACUGCACACUUCAAAUUACUGAAGCACAGGAGCAUGGGAAGUAUGCUGCAGCUGGUCUGGGCUGUGGAGGCUGUCUGUGAUACUUGUGCAGAGAAUGACUUGAAAACAACAAUUAAAGCACAGCUGGGGAGGAGCUGACACACUCAGAAGGGAAAAGUUACCCGUGUACAUCUGAGCUAGGAUUCAGAACAGCCCAAGGAGACGCUCAUGCAUUGCUUUCCUUGCCCAGGCAAAGUGCAGCCUCUUUUCUACAAACUCAAUCCAGAUUUUUAGACAUCAGAAGAAUCACUCUGGUAUUGGAGCCUGAUCAAGCACAAAAAACAUCCUCAGCCUUCAGAAAAAUACCAGAUGGCUGCAGAUGCCAGCUCCUUCGGCCAGGCAGUGUUUUGAGAGAAAAGGCCAACUUGUUGUGGAGCACUGCAUCCCAGAUACAACUCUGCAGAGCAGCAAAGAGCCACAAAGAAAUCCCUGGAGGAGGAGGAGCAUCCAAGCCAAUGUAUUCCCGUAACAUCAGAUUUUCAAGGCUACGCAUAUGUUCAUAUCCAAAUAUGCUCUCUUUCCCCAGAGGGAAGAGGGACCUACAGAAGUGACUCUGGCUGGAAAUGCUCUUAUGAGUUUCUGAGCAGUUGUGUGCACUUGAAGCUCCAGUCAGAAUUGCCAAAUCAUUGGAAACAAGUUGCAAAAACAUGCCUGGCAAUGUAAGAGGGGAUACUUAGUCUCUACUUAGUGAACUGGUCUUUGGAAUAUCAACUGUGAGACUUUAAGCUGGUUGGUUCUCAGUCACCUACUCUUUGAGGACAUCAUCAUGGUGCUGCUGCUGCAGAGGAUAAUAUCCUGUUUGCCCUACAGAAAUAGGUGCAAAGAACAAAUACUUCUCCCAUAAAUAGGGCAGUGAAAGGAUUUAUGCACCAUUUAAGACUUAAAACUGAAUGGGAUGCACACACCUUGUGCAACUUUCACAACAGGAGAAAUGUCACCCUUUGUGUGGUGACUCCACUUCCAAAGACCACUGACUGCAAGAAAAACAGCCCAGCAGCCAAUCACCAGCUGAGGUUAUUUGGUUCUCCAACAGCUCUUGUUUCCCACCAACACCUGAACAGGUAACAUGGUGUCAGGAUGUGUUUGCUUGAUGAUCAAGGAAGGAUUCACAGGGCUCAUGACUCAACAACUUUAGCACCACUUUAGUGCCACGAAGCAAUGGGAGUGCCUGAGCCAGCCAGAGUAAUGUGAUACACACAACAAAGCCUGGUCAGCCACAUGGCCUUGUAAAAACCUGAGGUGCAAUUAGUUUCUAUCAAAAAAAUAAAAAAAUCUUUUCUUUGGUCUCAGGAGUCCUGAAAUGGCUGUGAUACAAUUAAAACCAACCAAAAAAGGAAUGACAGUGAGGAGUGGUGAGAUGCUCAUUUCUGGGGAGUGUGGGCUGGUAAUGUCCGUCUGGAAGGACCUCAGAGAGAGUGGUCACUUUUGAUUACUGCAUAAUGUGAGUAAUUCUCUGGAAAGACCAGUCCUUCCCUCCGGAAUCUUAGCAAAGGGGGGAAAAAUAACACAUUCCAAAAUUGGAAAGCUGCACAGCCCUUGGAUGUCGGGAGCCGCCCAAGAUUUCUGUGCAGGGGCCACCACACAGAAGCUGCAAGGAGUGAGCCACUGGCCCUGCCCUCUGCUCUGGGGUCACAGCUCCAGCUCUAGAGCCAAACUUGGACUGUAACACACCUACUGAAGUGGCCAUCCAGAGCUCUGGUAGGUGGGGUGACACUAACAGCACACGAAACACCUCGUCACCCAGAAGCCACGCUCUCCAAUUCUUCAACCCACGUCUGCACCUUGAUGCAUGAGGUGCAGGUGGUUCCUUUGGAGGUUCCGCCUUCUCUGAGAAGUUUGUCCUCAGUGUAGCUCCUGGCCAACCUGUGGCAUGAACACAAGCCAUGGAAGAAGAACAGUACAUCCCUGGUGCAAAAAAUGGGGCUGUGCUUCAGUCCCCGGGCAGCUGCAGUUCUAAAAAUCCAUGUGUGUCCAAAAGUUGAGAGGAAUGACUGGGACAGAUCCCUAGUGUGCUUGGGACGAUGGGCUUUGCCUGUGAUACUGGGGAAAAAGGAGCAGCAGUGGUAUUUGAGAAGGAAAGAGCCUGUUUUUCCCCAGGUGUACCCCCUGGGCAUACAACAGGCUCAGCACCAGUCCUGAGGGUUUCACAGCUGGCACCUGGACAACAACAGGAAGGUCCAAGAGACACAUCAGACCCCUAUUUCUUUAUAUAGACAUAUAUGGUUACAUUUAAACAGAUGAUUUUUUUUCCUUCAUGCUAAUCCUCCACAAAACCAGUUUGGUUUCCAUUACUAUAUAUAGCACUGGGAAUCUUGGUCUAUUUUUCGUCCCUUUGCAUCUGAUUAUUUUCAGUAGAGCUCAAAGUUUUGAUGAUAUACAGAUUUUAACUGGAACAUGACAUCUACUCACACAAACUUCCAUUAGCAAUAAACCCACAAUGGCCACUUGUAACGUAGAAGAAUUUUAUUCAUACCAUAAUCCUGUCCCAUCAUCCACUGCAAAUAUUACAAUUAUCUUCAAAAUGUCACUGAAUAUCAUUUUGUUCCACUUAAAGCACAGGAAUCCUGGUGUUAGACAGUUACAUUUCUCUUGAGAUUGCUUAUAACAGAACCAUAAUUCAAAUGUAUUUUCCAUGAGCUGUAAAGGUUUAAAGCAAAGAAUCUGCAGUGUGUCUGUGUGCUCGAGUAACUUCUAAACAAUGAGGCUAAUACUUGGUAUUUGACAAGAGAUGUGUCCUGCAUAUUAUGCGAAACACUCACAAUUUUUUUACCAACACAACAGAAAUGCAACAGUUAAAAGAACAUACUUGAAUGACUGGUAACAUUUAAAAAAUCUUUCUUUUAAAAAUUGCACAAGAGAAUACAAAAACAGUGCAGCAGAAAACCAAAUGCGUAUACAUUGACAUAUCUAUAUAGAAUAGGUCUGCCUAUAUAAAGGUACGUGAUAAAAAUUGCAAGGUUGGAAAGUGUGAAUGGUCAUAUUUAAUAACACGUGCAAGAAGCAUAACAUAAUCAUAAUAAAUAGCAGCAACGAAUAUACACUAACAGGACCACUGAAAUUAUGCUAAAAUAAAUUAAGCACCUUUAAGUGAUGACAAGAGCGUGAAGCUGAGCAGCUUUUUAGCUCUGUGAGAACCACUGCGGGCAGCUACUGGAAUAUUGGGCCCUUGGUGGGAGUCAACAGGAACGUGUCCAAUUAGCAUUUGUUAAUUCCAAAGAAGAAAGCAAUUGUGUGUCAGUAGGACUCAGCCAUAUAGCCAAGUUCAGCCACACCUCUAAUUUCAAAAGGGAGACUGAUGUCAUAUUCACUGCUUACCCUUUGGCAUGUCAAAGGUACAGAAAGCUUGUAUUUACUCAGAAGGAUGUUAUUGUAAAGAAGAAAUGGAAUUUUGGCCCAGCUGAAGGGCAGGCAGUGCUGUUUAGCAUGGCUGAGAUGCAGAGCUUUGCUGCUGCUGGCAACAACAAGUUUACCUGCAAAGGUAAAGCUUUGCAAAUCAUAGUCCCAAUGAUCCCAUCCUUGAGGGCUGUGCAGAUCCCCAGCCUUGAGAGACCUGCAAAAAGCUCCAUUCAGGAGGAGCCCCAUGUAUAGGCAGGGCAGCAAUGACUGCCAGCAAGGCCAUGAGGCCCCUGGAGGGACCUGGGCUCCAGGAUCCUGGUGCUCUUUGUUACACAAUACCUGUCUUUUGGAGGAGAAGCAGCAUUUUGAAGCACUUAUUUGGCUUUCAGAAAAUUUUUAAAAAUUCUAAAAUUUAAUCAUAUAUUAGAAGAAAGGCAUUUGAAUUUUAUUAAGUGGACCUUAUUAAAAACAAGCUGCUGUAUUUGUCCCUGAAGUGCACCUGGCACCAUCUCUUCAGCAUUUCAUUUAAUGUUCAGAGAAGUGGAUGAGGACAUUCUGCUGAGUUUUGAAGCUAACUUAAUUCAGCAGAGAAGCCCCCACUGGACUUCUAAGGACUCUAAUGUAAACCCUCAUUUAAAAAAAGCUGAGGACAAAUAACUUAGGUCCUAAAGGCUCCAUUUGAAUUCUUACAAAAUAUUGUCCCUUGACCUCUUCACCCAGAAGACUGGAGCAGGCUGUUUGCCUGAGCAUGUCCUACAAAGCAGACCCAAAAGGGUUUGUGACAUGGAGGAAUAUGGCCCCUAUAUUUAAGCCACAAACAAAAUCACUCAAAAGCUUUACUUUUCCCUGGCUUGCUGGAAUGAUAAAAAGCUUCCUCCAACCUUCCCCUUUACAUUGCAUCUCAUCAAUGAGACUGCCACUCAUUCCAUGGGAUUUUGGAAUCCCCCAGUCUGUAACCAGUGAAAAGUCUUAGAAGUGACAGGCAGAGAGAUAUCAUCGAAUCACAGACUGGUUUGAGUUGGAAGGGAGCUGAAAGGCCACUGACUUCCAACCCCCUGCCAAGGGCAGGGACAUCUUUCACAUCCCUUGAUCAAAGAUCCUUGACAAAAGGUGAGUAAGACCAGCUUUAAAGAUAAUAAAGAAAACAGAAAUUCAUAUGUAUUUUAAAUAGUUGAACCCACAGUUUUAACCAAUAUGAACCAACAAUAGGCAAAAAUCUUGUCUGCAAGCCAAGAGCCCAAAAGAGCCCCAAUCUUCCCCAAAGCUAGUCUUACCCAAAUAGUUAUCCUUCCACUUCCACGAUACAUGAGAUUUGAGCUGACAUCCACUAGGUGACAUAAACAGAAAAAAUACACAUAAAAUGCACACUUCUUUUUUUUUUUCUUCAUAAAGCUGUGGAGCUGCGCAGAGCAAAUUUUAAGUGCACAAGGUCACAUGAAGGCAGCUUUCCAGAGGAAUCAUUUAGACGGUGAGCGAAAUGAAGCUGUUGUAUCUCUGAAUGUUUCUCUUGAGGAUCUCGGAGCAGGGGCCGAGCACCCGCUCGAAGCGGGGCCGGUCCAGCUUCACACACUUGAGGGGUCCACGUGCCACCACCGUGGCUGCCCGGGGCCGGUUGAGCAGCAAGGCUAUCUCACC